rnacentral:rRNA from 1 species
AUUGAACGCUGGCGGCAUGCUUUACACAUGCAAGUCGAACGGGCUUGGGGGCUUGCUCCCAAGUUAGUGGCGAACGGGUGAGUAAUACAUCGGAACGUACCGUGUAGUGGGGGGUAACGUAGCGAAAGUUACGCUAAUACCGCAUACAAUCUACGGAUGAAAGCAGGGGACCUUCGGGCCUUGUGCUAUACGAGCGGCCGAUGUCUGAUUAGCUAGUUGGUGAGGUAAAGGCUCACCAAGGCGACGAUCAGUAGCGGGUCUGAGAGGAUGAUCCGCCACACUGGGACUGAGACACGGCCCAGACUCCUACGGGAGGCAGCAGUGGGGAAUUUUGGACAAUGGGCGAAAGCCUGAUCCAGCCAUGCCGCGUGUCUGAAGAAGGCCUUCGGUUGUAAGGACUUUGUCUAGGAGCAAACUUACUAGGUUAAUACCGGUGAGGCUGAGAGUACCUGAAGAAUAAGACACCGGCUAACUACGUGCCAGCAGCCGCGGUAA